rnacentral:rRNA from 1 species
AACGAACGCUGGCGGCGUGCCUAACACAUGCAAGUCGAGCGCGAAAAGGGCAACCUGAGUAGAGCGGCGCACGGGUGCGUAACACGUGGGUAAUCUGCCUUAGAGUCGAGGAUAACCUUCCGAAAGGUUGGCUAAUACUCGGUAAGCUUACGGUGUCUUCGGACGCUGUGGGAAAAGUAGGCCUCUGUUUACAAGCUUACGCUCUUAGCUGAGCCCGCGGCCCAUCAGCUAGUUGCCGGUGUAACGGACCACCAAGGCAACGACGGGUAGCUGGUCUGAGAGGACGAUCAGCCACACUGGAACUGAGACACGGUCCAGACUCCUACGGGAGGCAGCAGUGGGGAAUUUUCCACAAUGGGCGAAAGCCUGAUGGAGCAACGCCGCGUGUGUGAUGAAGGUUUUCGGAUCGUAAAGCACUUUCGACUGGGACGAAAAACCUUUGGCUAACAUCCAGGGGCCUGACGGUACCAGGAGAAGAAGCACCGGCUAACUCUGUGCCAGCAGCCGCCGUAACAC